GGGAGCCCCUCCCUCUAAAAGCACUCUGUGUGGGGAAGAUGAGAGCCAGAGCAAAGCUCAGAGGAACCAACCUGGAUUUGGAUCUGGAUCUGGAUCCAGCUGUGUGUCAUUCAGGAGUGACAAAUCAAAGGGUAUACCUCCUAACUUCAAAGACAUGGAUUCAGGAGUAGAACAGAUCCAACAGAGAUCUGGAUCUGGAUCCAGCUGUGUGUCCAACAAGAGUGACGGAUCAAAGGAUUUUCUUCCUCCUGACUUCAAGUCCAUCAGUUCAGCAGUGGAACAAGUGGACCAGCAGAGCUCAGAGACUCCCAGUGGUCCGUCUGUCCAGCAGCAUCAAAC